UACGUAGGGUGCGAGCGUUAAUCGGAAUUACUGGGCGUAAAGCGUGCGCAGGCGGUUUUGCAAGCCGGAUGUGAAAUCCCCGGGCUCAACCUGGGAAUGGCAUUCGGGACUGCAAGGCUGGAGUGCGGCAGAGGAGAGACUGGAAUUCCUGGUGUAGCAGUGAAAUGCGUAGAUAUCAGGAGGAAUACCGAUGGCGAAGGCAGGUCUCUGGGCUGACACUGACGCUCAUGCACGAAAGCGUGGGGAGCAAACAGG
rnacentral:rRNA from 1 species